ACCUGCCGCGUACCCUGCCGCUCCCAAUCAAACUCCCUCCCUACCCCCGCCUCCAUGCCCUCGUUCCAAGGCCCUCCCCCACCAUUCUCGGCAACCGGCGGUGCCCUGUAUCCCCGCAUCGUGUGGAUCUCGUCUGCAUCCGGCCCCUCCCCUUCAGCAAGUGCAUCCGGCGGUGACCCACCUUCCCCUGCAUCGCGUGGAUCCUGCCGGCGCGCCACCGCCCCUCCACCGCGCGGAUCUCGCCACCGGCGCCCCGCCCCCAUGGUCGAGCGCCACUGCGUAGGCCCUCGUGCUAGCUGAACUGUGCCUCUCCUCUCUCUGAGCUUCACCGGCCGGCGCCGCCCAACCACGCCCCUGCAACCGCGCGUCCAGCCCGACGUAGCCCCGUGAGUCCACCACUGUGACGCCUUUGCUCCCGCUCUCUCUCGGCCGUCCUUUUCUCCAGGAGGGAAGGCUGACGCCACGGUUGAUGGAUGAGCUAAAUGAGCUACAUGGAAGAUUGCUUUAGUGCGACAUGAAGUUUGGAAUCCCAGUUGUGUGGCCGUGGACACCUAGGAGCGCCGCCGUGGACUCUGGAACCAAUGUUCCGGGUGACCACGUCUUUGGCGAGUCUAUCAUGCCCAGUACUUAAAAGAACCAGCUCCGCCCAGCGCACCUCCCCUGUUGGUUGAGCUCCUGUCUGAUGAGUAGCACUGAUCUUAAUUCAGAGGCUAGCUACUACUGAUAAAGAUCUUGACCAUGACCAUCCAAUGGAGUCUAAUCGCCUUCAUCGGGAUGCACCUGGUGUGUGCUAAUAUUUUUGUCCUUUGCUAUGCACAAAAGCUUGUGGCCGGGAGAGCUGUAGUAUACGGGCGGGCAGUCGAGUCCUUAGCAAAAGGCAGUGCCGUGAUGCGAAGCAGCCAACAUAAUCAAAGAAUAGGAAGUUUGCGCCUCCUGGACCCCGCCGCCGCGCGCCUCCUAGAUCCCCGCCGCAGCGCGCCUCCUAGACCCGCCGACGCGCGCCUCACAAGCUAGAGUUAAUUACAAUUCAUGGAAGUUAGUUUGCGUUUGCGCAAUACUCGAGCAGCUACAGGAUGCCGGCGAUAUUCUCUCAGGAGCAUUGCCAGGACGAAUGCAGUAUUGCUGAAGUUCAUUUCUUCUAAUCCUUGUAGUUCACUUCCCCUAAUUCAUGAAGUUUACAUCUCUUGCUACUUGUUAUUUAGUUCAUCCAUUUGGUUUAGAUAUGCACUUGUUUAUUUAGUUCCUUGUGAAAGUCAAUUUUUUGUCGAAGUUCAGUUUUAUUGGUGGGAGAGUUCACUUUAUUUUUUAGAAGUUCAAUUGUUAUAGUGCAGAUAUUCAUUUCUUCCAGCAAAAAAGGUUCUAAUUCACCCACGAGGGAAAAAGUUCGCAUUUUGUUGUCACAAAGUUCACUAUUUUCAAAUCUGGAAGUUCGCAUCUGUUGCUAAUUUUUAUUGUACUUCUAUAUGGUGUGUGGUACUAACUAAAUUACCCUCAGUUCAUGUCACUUGCGGUACUUCUACAUGGUGUGUGCUCCCACACAGCGCCACCUCGCCCUUCAAUGCAGUCCACGGUGUCAAUGAUGAUCGGCAGUCCACAUUGCAUCAAACCAAGAAGUCAAUCUGAAAAGAGGUAAUUUUUUUCUAAAUUAUUAGAGAAUGCACUUUGUUUGUCCCCAGAAGCUCGCAUCUUCUAUCUAGGAAAGUUCAGUGUGUAUACACCUAGUUGUGAAGUUCACUUUAUAUUUUUUAGUUGACCUGAGCUUGUACGUGUAUGGUUAUGAACUUGCGUAUUUUUUAGUUCUUUGUUUUUUAUGGAAAAAAUGAAUCAAGCAUGGGCAAAACACGGUACAAGUAUGUGCUGAUGCGUGUCUGGCUAUAAAAAGUAGAAGUUCCUUUGGUUUACAAAGAAAGUUUAUGUUUCAUUUUGUACAUGCUCACUACUGUCGGUUCAUCUAGAAAAAAAUAGCUUUUCCAUGUGUACACAUAAAAUCAAUUCAUGUGUGCUUUAUUUGUUGUUUGCUAUGGAGAAGUUCACUAAUUUGUUUUUGGAAAGUUCACUCUUAUGCGGUUAGCUAUAUCUAUGGGUAAGUGUCGAUGGUACAGACGUAGAAAACUAGAAGUUCGGAUUUAAUUGUGGAGCAGUGCAGUUCACAUGGGCGUUGGCGAACAUCCGUCGGCGCACCUACCUCCGCAUCGGCGUUGGUGAACAUCAGUGCACACCAAGUUCCUCGUCAGGCUGAGAUGUUUUUGCAACUGACUGGCUAUGAAGUUCACAUCUCUUUUUAGGUCAUGGCCAUGCAGGGAGUUAGCUUCAUCUCUAGAAGAAGUUCAUUGUGGGCUGAAAAGAGCACUGGCAUGGACUCCUGCAAGCACAGCUCUAGACUUCCGCGAGUGAUAGUGUGGUCUUCACGAGCAUUGUCGUUGCCGCUGCUGCUUCAAGCGAGAUGGUGUCUGUUUCAUGUGUGAUGGUGAUAGUUCGGAGUAAGAAAAGUGAUCGUUUUCCUGUGAGCUCGCCGCUGCUGCAAGCUCGACCAAGUGCGAUUUGCCCAUGCCAUCAGCACUUAGUAGUUCACCCUUUACAGUGGAGCUGUACCUUGUGGAAGCACGCAUUGGCUGUGAAGUUCAGGGGGGCAGAUUUGUGAAGUCCAGAGACCAAUAGCUAUGUAGUUUAGAGAGCUCAAUUUGUUAUUUUGGUUGAGACAUUGGAUUAGCGUUGUGAACAUGAUUUGUGCUAAUGUUAUUUUGUUUCUCUUGUCCUGCUUGUGGUUUGGCGACUUUGAGGUUGAAUGGAAGUGGACAAUUGUAUAAAAUGUAUAAACUG